UACGUAGGCAGCGAGCGUUGUUCGGAGUUACUGGGCGUAAAGGGUGUGUAGGCGGUUGUUUAAGUUUGGUGUGAAAUCUCCCGGCUCAACUGGGAGGGUGCGCCGAAUACUGAAUGACCUCGAGUGCGGGAGAGGAAAGUGGAAUUCCUGGUGUAGCGGUGAAAUGCGUAGAUAUCAGGAGGAACACCGGUGGUGUAGACGGCUUUCUGACCGUAACUGACGCUGAGACACGAAAGCGUGGGUAGCAAACAGG
rnacentral:rRNA from 1 species